rnacentral:rRNA from 1 species
AGAGUUUGAUCAUGGCUCAGAAUGAACGCUGGCGGCGUGCUUAACACAUGCAAGUCGUACGAGAAAGCCGAUUUUUCGGAAUUGGCGAGUAAAGUGGCGCACGGGUGAGUAACGCGUGAGUGACCUACCCCUGUAUCCGGGAUAACACUUCGAAAGGGGUGCUAAUACCGGAUACGUCCCCUUCGGGGGAGAAAGCCGGCCUCUCGAAGAAGCUGGUGUACAGGGAUGGGCUCGCGUCCUAUCAGCUGGUUGGUAGGGUAACGGCCUACCAAGGCGACGACGGGUAGCUGGUCUGAGAGGAUGAUCAGCCACACUGGCACUGGAACACGGGCCAGACUCCUACGGGAGGCAGCAGUGAGGAAUUUUGCGCAAUGGGGGAAACCCUGACGCAGCAACGCCGCGUGGGUGAAGAAGGCCUUCGGGUCGUAAAGCCCUGUCAGGUGGGAAGAAUGACUUUGGGGCGCACAGCCCCUAGGUGUGACGGUACCACCAAAGGAAGCACCGGCUAACUCCGUGCCAGCAGCCGCGGUAAUACGGAGGGUGCGAGCGUUAUUCGGAAUUACUGGGCGUAAAGAACGCGUAGGCGGUUCGGCAAGUCUGGUGUGAAAGCCCGGGGCUCAACCCCGGAAGUGCAUUGGAAACGGUCGGACUUGAGUACCGGAGAGGAAGGGGGAAUUCCCGGUGUAGCGGUGAAAUGCGUAGAUAUCGGGAGGAAUACCAGUGGCGAAGGCGCCCUUCUGGACGGUAACUGACGCUGAGGCGUGAAAGCGUGGGGAGCAAACAGGAUUAGAUACCCUGGUAGUCCACGCCGUAAACGAUGAGCACUAGGUGUAGCGGGUAUUGACCCCUGCUGUGCCGUAGCUAACGCGAUAAGUGCUCCGCCUGGGG